CAGUGACGCCAUAGCGACGGCGCCGCAAUUUAGGAGCGUGCUCCGGGGCGGCGGGAACCGGGGUGAGCGGGCGGAGGGCGGGGGGCGUGGUGAAGCGUCUGGGUACCGGAGCCGCACCGGGACAAAACUCCGGAGGGGAGUACUCGAACCCGGCGCAACGUCAGUCCCGGCCCGCAGCCGCGUCGGCACCACCCCGGAGCCCACGGUUCACGCGCUCGCGGCGGCCCCGACUCUCUCCUUGAUAGGAAUGGUUGACUUCACAGAAUUAUAUGGAGUGACUCGUCCCACUGGAUUGGAAACUAUUUUAAGCCUGAAUAAUGUUAUAUACAAUGAAUUCUAAAUUUCCCUUCAAAGAACCGGUAUGUCAGUAUGUUCAGUCUUUGUUCUGCAUUUUAAAGUCUAACUUCCUCGCAGUUGCAAUAAACAACUUUUUCCACCAGUUCUAAUCAGUAGUUCAUGUCAUGUGCGUCCAUGUAAAG
rnacentral:lncRNA from 10 species